ACAAGCGGAGGAGCAUGUGGUUUAAUUCGAUGAUACGCGAGGAGCCUUACCUGGGCUUGAAAGUUAGUGACAUUCUGUGAAAGCAGAACUUCCGCAAGGACACGAAACUAGGUGCUGCAUGGCUGUCGUCAGCUCGUGCCGUGAGGUGUUGGGUUAAGUCCCGUAACGAGCGCAACCCCUAUCAUUAGUUGCCAUCAGGUCAUGCUGGGGACUCUAAUGAGACUGCCCGCGCAAGCGGUGAGGAAGGUGGGGACGACGUCAAGUCAUCACGGCCCUUACGUCCAGGGCUACACACGUGCUACAAUGGUAGAUACAGCAGGUUGCCACAUGGUAACAUGGAGCUAAUCCCAAAAGUCUAUCUCAGUUCGGAUUGAGGUCUGCAACUCGACCUCAUGAAGCUGGAUUCGCUAGUAAUCGAAAAUCAGCAAUGUUUCGGUGAAUACGUUCCCGGGCCUU
rnacentral:rRNA from 1 species